AGAGUUUGAUCAUGGCUCAGAUUGAACGCUGGCGGCAUGCCUUACACAUGCAAGUCGAACGGUAACGCGGGGCAACCUGGCGACGAGUGGCGAACGGGUGAGUAAUACAUCGGAACGUGCCCAGUAGUGGGGGAUAGCCCGGCGAAAGCCGGAUUAAUACCGCAUACGACCUACGGGUGAAAGCGGGGGAUCGCAAGACCUCGCGCUAUUGGAGCGGCCGAUGUCAGAUUAGGUAGUUGGUGGGGUAAAAGCCUACCAAGCCGACGAUCUGUAGCUGGUCUGAGAGGACGACCAGCCACACUGGGACUGAGACACGGCCCAGACUCCUACGGGAGGCAGCAGUGGGGAAUUUUGGACAAUGGGGGCAACCCUGAUCCAGCCAUGCCGCGUGCGGGAAGAAGGCCUUCGGGUUGUAAACCGCUUUUGUCAGGGAAGAAACGCUUCGGGAUAAUACCCUGGAGUAAUGACGGUACCUGAAGAAUAAGCACCGGCUAACUACGUGCCAGCAGCCGCGGUAAUACGUAGGGUGCAAGCGUUAAUCGGAAUUACUGGGCGUAAAGCGUGCGCAAGCGGCUUUGCAAGACAGAUGUGAAAUCCCCGGGCUCAACCUGGGAACUGCAUUUGUGACUGCAUGGCUAGAGUGUGGCAGAGGGGGAUGGAAUUCCGCGUAGCAGUGAAAUGCGUAGAUAUGCGGAGGAACACCGAUGGCGAAGGCAAUCCCCUGGGCCUGCACUGACGCUCAUGCACGAAAGCGUGGGGAGCAAACAGGAUUAGAUACCCUAGUAGUCC
rnacentral:rRNA from 1 species